rnacentral:misc_RNA from 1 species
GGAGACCCGACAGUUGGCCGACCCGAGGUUAGAUUUAUUUUCACUCGGUGGGUAUUUUUUUUUACGACCCUGCCCGCGCUUUAGACAUAGCCGUCGUGGAGGGAUGUUUUUCGCGUGCGAUCCACCGCGGCCGGGCUCGGUCUCGCGCGUGUAUGCACGCCAACGCUCACGACACUGAAUCAUCCGGACGUGGCACUGACUUUCGCGUCAUCCCUGUGGAAGCGAGCGGCCUUCUCGAGCCGCGCUCGUAUAAUAAACCCAUAAACAGCCCUGCUGCCGCGAGAAGAAGAGACAAGGAACACGGAGGCGACGUGAUUCCUGUGGCAAGAGGUGCACGCGUAGGCUCGUGUACGAGACGACCUUGUGAUUGCGCGAUGCACGAGGUGCAUAUGUACACGAGGAGAACGCGUUACGUAGCGGAUACAUAGUAAACAGCAUGGCGUGGGAGAGGCAACGGAGAAAGAAAAGGAAAGAGAGGAAAAUAAAAGGGGGACGAGAUAGAGGCGGCGAAGGAGGAGAAGGUGAAGGCGGAGGUUGUGGCCGGUGAGAGGGAGAGAGAGAAUUCCUAAGCACCCGGAGCGCGAUGCUUACCUGCGGUAACGUUUAAGCGGUGGAGUAAGUACAAGACCUUAGCGCGCAUCAAGGAAACAAACAGCUGGCGCGCGCAAUAUGAAUUAAACAUGCUGAUUAAUAAUUAACAAGUUGCCGGCUCUCCUCGCGCGCCUAUACCGGUAGGUAGGUGUACUAUCUGGCUUUGUCUUGGUUGCACACGCCUCGAUCCUUUCUUCUUUUUCUCGCUUUCCUUCGCGCGUUACGAGGUAACGCGCACCGCUCCAUUACGCUUCACGAUCGGCGCCGGCUCACGCUAAAACAGCUGUUCGAGGGGUAUCGCGUGUCGAUCGAUUUAAAAAUGCUUCGACACGACCUCAGGCUGCCGGCGAACGCGUGCGGAAACCAUCGCUUCGCUUUUACCGGUUCACCGCCCACUAAAUACCUUCCAUGUCGAAGUAUCACGGUGCGAGUUGCCCGAGAAGAUCGAUCCAAGAUUUUUUCGCGCGCAUGGAACUCGCGGAAAAAUCGCGAGAGAAUCGAGCGAAAGUGGCCGAUAACGCGUGCGAGGAGAAGA